rnacentral:rRNA from 1 species
CCUACGGGAGGCUGCAGUGAGGAAUAUUGGUCAAUGGACGCAAGUCUGAACCAGCCAAGUAGCGUGCAGGAUGACGGCCCUCCGGGUUGUAAACUGCUUUUAGUUGGGAAUAAAAGGGGGCUCGUGAGCCCCGUAUUGUAUGUACCAUCAGAACAAGGACCGGCUAAUUCCGUGCCAGCAGCCGCGGUAAUACGGAAGGUCCGGGCGUGAUCCGGAUUUAUUGGGUUUAAAGGGAGCGUAGGCCGGCUUUUAAGUCAGCUGUGAAAGUCCGCGGCUUAAACGGUGAAUUGCAGUUGAAAAUGGCAGUUGUGAGUACAGUAGAGGUGGGCGGAAAGCGUGGUGUAGCGGUGAAAUGCAUAGAUAUCACGCAGAACUCCGAUUGCGAAGGCAGCAUACCGGCGCUCAACUGACGCUCAUGCACGAAAGUGUGGGUAUCGAACAGGAUUAGAUACCCGAGUAGUC